rnacentral:rRNA from 1 species
GAUGAACGCUGGCGGCGUGCCUAAUACAUGCAAGUCGAGCGAACAGAUGAGGAGCUUGCUCCUCUGACGUUAGCGGCGGACGGGAGAGUAACACGUGGAUAACCUCCCUAUAAGACUGGGAUAACUUCGGGAAACCGGAGCUAAUACCGGAUAAUAUAUUGAACCGCAUGGUUCAAUAGUGAAAGACGGUUUUGCUGUCACUUAUAGAUGGAUCCGCGCCGCAUUAGCUAGUUGGUAAGGUAACGGCUUACCAAGGCAACGAUGCGUAGCCGACCUGAGAGAGGGAUCGGCCACACUGGAACUGAGACACGGUCCAGACUCCUACGGGAGGCAGCAGUAGGGAAUCUUCCGCAAUGGGCGAAAGCCAGACGGAGCAACGCCGCGUGAGUGAUGAAGGUCUUCGGAUCGUAAAACUCUGUUAUUAGGGAAGAACAAAUGUGUAAGUAACUAUGCACGUCUUGACGGUACCUAAUCAGAAAGCCACGGCUAACUACGUG